rnacentral:rRNA from 1 species
UACGGAGGGUGCAAGCGUUAUUCGGAAUCAUUGGGCGUAAAGGGCGCGCAGGCGGUCUUUUAAGUCAGAUGUGAAAGCCCGGGGCUCAACCCCGGAAGUGCAUUUGAAACUGAGAGACUUGAGUAUGGGAGAGGGAAGUGGAAUUCCUGGUGUAGAGGUGAAAUUCGUAGAUAUCAGGAGGAACACCGGUGGCGAAGGCGACUUCCUGGACCAAUACUGACGCUGAGGCGCGAAGGCGUGGGGAGCAAACAGG